AUGCACUGCGAAGUGAGAGAAAAAUAAUUGUACAGGUUUGAAAUUUUCAAUCGUUCGCAUUUAAAUCAGAGAAAAAGUCGGCCCAAGGUCAAACGUUGACGUCGUGUCUCCGAAUUUGUUCUGUUGGAAUUUCUUUAUCCUUUCUUUUGUUAUGCGCGAUAUAGAUAUUCGACUAGUGAAGGUCAAAAGCGGAACGUUCGGGACCGCUGCUUUAAGUCAGAUAAAUAUAAGUGGAACGUCGUAACUUUGACUUUGAGUGUUUUAUCCGCUCCGCUAUACGUGAACAAGUUUACGUUCGCCGGCCAGCUUAUAAUAGCAUCUUCAGACAUAUGAGCUGUUUAUUUCAGUAUAUAUAGAGUACUCCGCAAUUUACUAUAUCGAAGAUGUAUUACCUCAGAUGCCAUGAAAGCGAAGGUAUUGAAGGAUACGAAGAAAAAGACUGCAGCGAUGCAGAAUAGAAGCAUGAAGGAAGAUAGCGCAAAAAUCGCCGCCAACAAUCCAAGAAGACGUGCAUGACUCCAUCCUGGUGUGCUAUCGAAACAAGUAUUUCUACGGAACUUCUUUCUCUCUCUCAUUUUUUAAUAUGACAUUAUAUUAUUGAACUGUUAUAAAACUACUGACUUAAAAAGAUAUUAGGAAUAUAAUAAUUUUCAACGAUAAUUUACGACGAUAAUGUAUUCGGAAUAAUAAGAAAGCGAUAAUCACGUACAAGUAAUGCAGAGUUGGCUGAAAAGGCUCAGAAAGCCAAGUGCCGUAAACCAUGCCCCCCAGAGCAGAACCUCGUUCAUGUACUGGACGUUCAAGACGCCAAAUACAAAGAUGAAUUUGUAAAAGAUAAAAUUCCAAAACUUAUCCUUCAAGUGUUGUGUUUCAGAGGCACGCAGCUCUCCGAACACCAGCUUCUGGAUGAAUUUGCCGAGGAGAAUCAGCACACAAUAAGCCAUGUUGAUCAAAGUCUAUAAAGGAGAAAAUUGUGAAAAAUAACGUGAAAAAUAGAACGUAUCGUCUGUGUUAGACGCUAUAUUAAUUAUAACUAUAUUAAUUACAAGUGAUUGUAACGGCUAAUAAUAUUUGCAAUGUUUUAUGCAAACAUCAAAAAUCAACUACUUGAUACUCGAUCGACAGUUUUAUCGAUAGCAAUUAUCGACGUACACGCAAAGAAACCGCAUACUGGCAAAGCAACCUCAGUUCCGAAACUUAAUGAGUAGAAUUCAUUAAACGUUGACCUAACAUCCGAGCUAAUUAUUUAAAAGAGUACUGUUAUAUGCGUAUUAAAGUAAAGUAAAGUAAUAAGUCAACAGAUGGGUAAAUACAGACAAAAUAUUUAUGUCAAAAUAAAAACACUGUCAAUAACGAUUAUAAAAAUAUGAAGAAAUAAAUUAAGCAGAUUAUAUAAA